UACGUAGGGUGCAAGCGUUAAUCGGAAUUACUGGGCGUAAAGCGUGCGCAGGCGGUUGUGCAAGACCGAUGUGAAAUCCCCGGGCUUAACCUGGGAAUGGCAUUGGUGACUGUACGGCUAGAGUGUGUCAGAGGGGGGUAGAAUUCCACGUGGUAGCAGUGAAAUGCGUAGAGAUGAUGGAGGAAUACCGAUGGCGAAGGCAGCCCCCUGGGAUAACACUGACGCUCAUGCACGAAAGCGUGGGGAGCAAACAGG
rnacentral:rRNA from 1 species